rnacentral:rRNA from 1 species
UGGGGAAUUUUGGACAAUGGGCGAAAGCCUGAUCCAGCAAUGCCGCGUGUGUGAAGAAGGCCUUCGGGUUGUAAAGCACUUUUGUCCGGAAAGAAAUCCUUGGCUCUAAUACAGUCGGGGGAUGACGGUACCGGAAGAAUAAGCACCGGCUAACUACGUGCCAGCAGCCGCGGUAAUACGUAGGGUGCAAGCGUUAAUCGGAAUUACUGGGCGUAAAGCGUGCGCAGGCGGUUUGCUAAGACCGAUGUGAAAUCCCCGGGCUCAACCUGGGAACUGCAUUGGUGACUGGCAGGCUAGAGUAUGGCAGAGGGGGGUUAGAAUUCCACGUGUAGCAGUGAAAUGCGUAGAGAUGUGGAGGAAUACCGAUGGCGAAGGCAGCCCCCUGGGCCAAUACUGACGCUCAUGCACGAAAGCGUGGGGAGCAAACAGGAUUAGAUACCCUGGUAGUCCACGCCCUAAACGAUGUCAACUAGUUGUUGGGGAUUCAUUUCCUUAGUAACGUAGCUAACGCGUGAAGUUGACCGCCUGGGGAGUACGUCGCAAGAUUAAAACUCAAAUGAAUUGACGGGGUCAUAGCUGUUUCCU